rnacentral:rRNA from 1 species
AUUGAACGCUGGCGGCGUGCUUAACACAUGCAAGUCGAUCGGUAACAGGUGUAGCAAUACAUGCUGACGAGAGGCGGACGGGUGAGGAAUAUUUGGGAAUCUGCCCAUCAGCGGGGACAACCCGGGGAAACCCGGGCUAAUACCGCAUACGCUCUACGGAGGAAAGCCGGGGACCGCCAGGCCUGGCACUGAUGGAUGAGCCCAAAUCGGAUUAUCUAAGUGGCGGGGUAACGGCCCACCAAGGCGACGAUCCGUAGCUGGUCUGAGAGGACUAUCAGCCACACCGGAACUGAGACACGGUCCGGACUCCUACGGGAGGCAGCAGUGGGGAAUAUUGGACAAUGGGGGAAACCCUGAUCCAGCGACGCCGCGUGGGUGAAGAAGGCCUGCGGGUUGUAAAGCCCUUUCGGUAGGGACGAAAGCUCUUGCUCUAAUAAUGCAAGAGGUUGACUUAACCUACAUAAGAAGCACCGGCUAACUCUGUGCCAGCAGCCGCCGUAA